CUCUUUCUCCUCUUUCUCCCUUCGCCCCCCUCUGUUCCUCUCUGGUCAAAUUUAAAGAAGGCGGGGGAGAGGGAGGGAGGGAGGGAGGGAGGGAGGGAG
rnacentral:miRNA from 1 species